GUUCUUCACUGUUUCUUCAAAUUUUAUCAAAUGCUUGAAUUUUUACAUUUACUAUGAACAAAAGUAACUGCUAAAAUGUUUAUCUUAUAAUACGUAGUAUAAAGUAAGAGAAGGUUAUGUUGAAAAUGACAACGCGAGUUCGUGCUCGCCAUUCAUAUGCAGAUGCGUUAGUCACAAGGAAAAAUAACUAGAUGAUAGUUCUAGAUACAAUCGAUAGAUUUAAUCGAUAGGUUUAAGAUGUUCUUUUGUUUUUAUCCCUAGCCCAUAUAAGAACGUGCAAUAAAGGUUUUUCUGGCUCAGAACGGUGUUAGAAUCCUACCUCUGAAUAAAGACAUAACAACAGGUUAUCUGAUUCAUUUUCUCAUAUGCGAUAUUUUCUUAUUCUUUACAGACUAAGUAUAUGUAAGCUAAGACUAAGUAUAUAUAGGUAUAUAUAAGCCUAAUGUACAAUGAUUCUGAUUAUUUUGUGCAAAGAUUAUGAAGGAAUUUUGAGUCAUCGAAGCUUAGCUGGCUCAAGUGAUAUACACAAUUAUAGAGGAUCCAUAGAUUUAUUAAUUUCUUACUAAUUCUAUAAUUCUCACCUGAACAAAAGCUCGCUUCGAUACCUGCUGAGCUUAACCUAACUACGAGUUUCCAAACUACAAACCAGAUGCAAAAAGCUUGGUUUCCAGUGCUUCUACAUCCUCUGUACACGCUAAGUGCAAGAACUCUAUCAGGCGUUAAAAUGUCACAGUGUGUGUUGCGUCAUGAGAAACGAACCACCUCAGUGUGUCUCGACGAGGCAUAAGACGUGCCAUAAGGAUAUCGAAGGUCCUUGAAGAAGCAAGUCGAAGGAGGGAUAGAUGGGUCGUCCGAAAGCAAUUAGCCUCGAAAACAUUUCUGGCUUGCGUCCGAGGGCCCUUUACCAACAAUGCGCCAGCGUUUUCGUUGUAUGCAAACUGUCUUUCAGUGACGAAGGGUGUCGAAUGCUUCGAGCGGUAAUCAGUGUCCGAGGGACGUUCACAGAAACUCUCCCUUCGCAAAGGGUUUCCCCGGUGUCGUCUGAACCUGGCUCUGAGCAUUUCUCCGACUGUGGGAAAGUUGCUAAUUGGAAAGACGUUGGAAGAGGACUUUAUUAUAUUUAAAUAUGCUUCGCUUGGAAGAGAAAUGAAGAUAUAAUUUUUAGACGUUUCUAAUUGAAAGAAUUAACCAAGUUUUAAAGGAACAUCUUUGUACAUACGUAUCCAAAGUUCUGUUUUAUUUUAUCUUAUUAAACAUUGUCUAACAGACUAUCAUAACGAAGACCUAUGAGAUUAAAAAUAUCAGAAGCAGCCUUCUUCAAUCCUUUCACGGAAAUGGAUAUGAAUAAUUGAUUAUCAUCUAAGAUGUGAAACUCGAUGUACUAUAAUUGACACUGUAAAAGAGCUAGCCCUGUGACGAGUAUCAUCCGGGCACAAAUCCUAAUCACAAUUUCCACUACGUAAAAUGGGAAUCAGCAUCAUCGUGGCGUGUUUGCCCGCAGCAUCCCUUGAACGCUACACAUCUUCGUCUUCAUCCAUGGAACACUUUUCACGACGACCACGCUCAUCUUUCCGCCACGCGGCCCUUUCCACCACGACGUGUAACACGUCGGAGAAAUUCAGCUGGCGAGCUUCUGGGCUUGCCGGAGGAAGGAUGUCACGACGGCCGAGAGAGGAGGAGGAUCGUCGCUAACGACUCCGCGAGCCGUAGCCGCGAAAGGUGAUGAAUCACUUUUACGACUCACUCGGCCAUUCUUCCUCGUCCGAGGAGGCCGACUGUCGACGUAAGCCGCUAUAAACGUGGCUUUUUCUCGCCUGGUCCGGGCUCCUUUGAGCGAGUCGCCGGAAGAGCCUGCUCGCCGCACGCAAAUUGCUUUCAAGCAGCGAUGUCAGGUGGUAAUUGGUCGCGGGUCGCGGGUCACGGGUCGCGUUAACAUCGUUACCAUCCCCGUGCACCGAUAAUUAUCGCCUUUUCCUUUCGUUUUUCAUCUGGAUAUCGCGCCUAAAGUGGAACUACUGAACGGCCUUUCAUUAAAGCGUAUCUGAAACUUUCACUCGACACGAUCGCGAGCCCGGUUCGUUGUCGUGUUUUCUUCGUGCGCGUAGUCUGAUAAAAACACGUGUUUCUCUUGUCGCGUCGCGGCCAGCACGCCUUUCCAACUGCGGCUGAUUGCGCCUUUCAGCGAGUCGCGUUGAUCUCAGACUGCAGCUUCGCGCUCGCCGCCUGUCGCUCAAUGAAAGAUGCUCAAUCAGCGCUUUUUAGGCAGGUGGAAGUGAAAAUGCUUCUCUUUUUGGUUGACUCAAGUGUACUCAGAGGAUCAAUUGCUUGCUGGCUCUGUUAGUUAAUUCCCAGCAUCGACUGUCUAGCUUCUGAAAAGCACUUCAGGAAUUGUCAUGUUGUUUUAUGUAUCUGUAAUUAGCUGGACAGACAAGUGAAAGUUUUAGAUUUAUUUGAGGAGGGUUGCUAUUGAUCAAUGAGGCUGACGAAAUUGCACGGAAUCUUCUGAUCUUCUAAAAAUACAAAAUGUUCGAUUCAGCUGUCUUCUGGUGGUAGGAUACGAGUCAUUCGGUAGCCAAUCAUUUUGCUCAUUCGAUGCUUUUUGAUGUUCUAUAUUUCAUGCACUUUUGUUAAACCGUAUGACUAAAACACCUGAUCUAACAAAAAAUGUACAUAGUUAUGUAUAGAUCAACUUAACCUUGCGCACUGUUGUGCCCUGCUGUUUCGCCUAAGUUGCUCUAAGUUGCUUUCAGAAGCAGCACGGAGGAUCAAAGAGUGACAGCGACCCAUACGAACAUCAACCCCAAUACCUAAGCCUUUGGAGGUGUGUAAGGGCGUCCCCAAGAGGACACAGUCCCCCUUUUCACGUCGACAAACGCGGGAUCGUGACUCAGCAGCGAAAUGGAAUCUCCGGAGACUCAUGCUUUUCGCUUUGGAUGGAUCUGCUGCCAACACCUUCACGUGGCAUAUAUGCGAAAAUAGCCGGGAUCUUUCGUAGAUUUAGGGACCCGGACACGCGUGCAUUCUUAUACGAACCAUGUCGAAUUUCGUUGCUCGAACGCGUAAAUAUUUGGAAUAUUCUGUAACCUGCAGAUCGAUCGGUCCCCGAAGACUUUAAUAUCGUCGAGCGCGUAAAAUGUAUUUUGAAUCCACUUUCUUCCUUAUUAGAACGCAGGUGGCCACCUGUUACUAUUAGAAAUUCAUUAGCUUUCUUUUGCAAUCAUUGAGAAUUGUACAUCUUAAUUGCCGAAAUAUAAGUAAAGGAAUACUAAGGUUACACUUAGAAUUCAUAUUAAAAUAGUUUCAGAUUUAUUUAACAAACGAUUCCCAGGAUCUCCGUGGAUAUCGUUUGCACGCGUCUCGGCGCUCUCUUUGUCUCACCAUCUUCUUGGGAAUGGAACAGUCGCAUUCGUCUGUUUUUCCGAGACGCUGUGCACACACGUACUUCCAUACACUCGUAUUCACAUACGUGUGUCACGGUUGAUCUAGUUUGGCACACAGAAUAUCUCAAUAUAAUCUCAAUAGGAAUAUUUUUAAAUUGCCCCACGUUCUCAUCCCUUAAAUAUCUUCACGUCCACGUCUAAGAUUGUGUCUACCGUGAAAAGAGGAAUAAUUUUAUAGAGCGAAGAGCCAUGUGUGCCUACGAUAUUGGAUUUCACCGUGAAACUACUUUGCAAUGGAAUUGCAAGUCAUUUUGAAGACACCAAAGUUAUCAAAAAGAUUGUUUGAUAUAGGAAGAGUUUUUAGGGCUAUGAACAUUGCAUGAGCAAUUUGGUCAUUUACAUCAAGAUUACAGCUUCAUGAGGAUGUUUUGACAGUUUUUGAAAAUCCUGACAGUUAACAACAACAAUUAAAAAUAUGCAAAUAGGACAAUGCUUGGAAACAUACGAAGGGUUAAAAGUCGAAAUGAUAAAGCGAGGGACAGGGUUUGUAAGAUUCAUGAAGCUGUGGUUAUACGUUUUCUUGUUCGUUUCAAGAAUGAUUCUCGCGUGUAAUUAUACGCGAUUAUAAAUGAGGCACCGUUGCAUUGUAAAUUCUCAGAAGUUGUAAAUUAUCAUGUCACUGAAUGUAUAAAGAGAUGUAGAUGAACAGCUACUGAUUGUCGAUACAGCGACCGUAAACGUUUUUGAUAAAAACUUUGUCUAUUGUCCAUGGCAAUUGCAUUACUUGUACACAUUGAAACCAGUCUGCAAUUUCCUGAACGUUACAUGCUAAUAAUAACGAUAAUAGCGAUAAUAAUAGUAAUAGUAAUUUCUUCACAAAGACAAAGAAAAUUCUUCUCUUCGCUCUGUGUUCUAUUCGCCUUGUUUUCCUACUCGUUCGGCACUCUAUAUCUAUUUAUCGUGACCCUGAACGAUCGAUCUACCGGGUGACAUAAUUUAGUGAAGAGGGAAGGCGAAAAAUAGGGAAAAAAAUAUCCAAAUUUCCUGGUGAUUCGCGAUGUUGUCGCGAACGAUCAACAAGUAAAGCGUAACGGGCCAGUAAUAAAGCGAUGAAAGUGAUAAAUCGCGACGGUUCCACCCCCAGGUCGGGCAGCGGCGUAUUGCGUUAUUAAAACUUUCCUAAUGGCCGAUAAUAAGCAGCCGGCCGGCUGGAUUGAUAUUAAAUCGUAAACUACUGCGUUCUCAUUUAUCAUUAUCACGACGGAACUCGAUGGUUCAUAGCGCGCGACGCCUCCGGUUGCAAACUUAGCCAGGCAAUUCCAGCCAAACGGGUUUUCACUGGAAA